UCUCCGUUGGUGAACCAGCGGAGGGAUCAUUACCGAGUUUACAACUCCCAAACCCCUGUGAACAUACCAUUCGUUGCCUCGGCGGUGCCUGCUUCGGCAGCCCGCCAGAGGACCCAAACCCUUGAUUUUAUACAGUAUCUUCUGAGUAAAUGAUUAAAUAAAUCAAAACUUUCAACAACGGAUCUCUUGGUUCUG
rnacentral:misc_RNA from 1 species